CCGUACUAUGUGGGGAGCUAGCGGUGCCCUGUACCUACAAUCCGCUACAGUAGGACAGAAUACCUGUUGCGGCUCUGCGUAUGGAAAGCAGUUGCCGUUAAGUGAUGUUGAGUCUAAGGUCUUGUGCAACGGAGUGCUAUGAACCGUGUCAGGGCUUGACCGCAGCAGCACUAAGUAGAUUGCGACGUGUGCCACGAGGUAGCUUUAGAGGAGUCGGCUGGCGGACGAACGUUUCGGUAUGUUUUGUCAAGGCAGGUUGUACGG
rfam:Firmicutes bacterium CAG:552 genomic scaffold, scf139